rnacentral:rRNA from 1 species
GAUGAACGCUGGCGGCGUGCCUAACACAUGCAAGUCGAGCGGGGACAUGGAGGAGCUUGCUCCGAAGUGUUCCAGCAGCGGACGGGUGAGUAACGCGUGAGCAAUCUGUCCUGUACAGGGGGAUAACAGAUGGAAACAUCUGCUAAUACCGCAUGGGACCACAGCUUCGCAUGGAGCAGGGGUCAAAGGAGAAAUCCGGUACAGGGUGAGCUCGCGUCUGAUUAGCUAGUUGGUGAGGUAACGGCCCACCAAGGCGACGAUCAGUAGCCGACCUGAGAGGGUGAUCGGUCACAUUGGAACUGAGACACGGUCCAA